AAAUUGAAGAGUUUGAUCAUGGCUCAGAUUGAACGCUGGCGGCAGGCCUAACACAUGCAAGUCGAACGGUAACAGGAAGCAGCUUGCUGCUUUGCUGACGAGUGGCGGACGGGUGAGUAAUGUCUGGGAAACUGCCUGAUGGAGGGGGAUAACUACUGGAAACGGUAGCUAAUACCGCAUAACGUCGCAAGACCAAAGAGGGGGACCUUCGGGCCUCUUGCCAUCGGAUGUGCCCAGAUGGGAUUAGCUAGUAGGUGGGGUAACGGCUCACCUAGGCGACGAUCCCUAGCUGGUCUGAGAGGAUGACCAGCCACACUGGAACUGAGACACGGUCCAGACUCCUACGGGAGGCAGCAGUGGGGAAUAUUGCACAAUGGGCGCAAGCCUGAUGCAGCCAUGCCGCGUGUAUGAAGAAGGCCUUCGGGUUGUAAAGUACUUUCAGCGGGGAGGAAGGGAGUAAAGUUAAUACCUUUGCUCAUUGACGUUACCCGCAGAAGAAGCACCGGCUAACUCCGUGCCAGCAGCCGCGGUAAUACGGAGGGUGCAAGCGUUAAUCGGAAUUACUGGGCGUAAAGCGCACGCAGGCGGUUUGUUAAGUCAGAUGUGAAAUCCCCGGGCUCAACCUGGGAACUGCAUCUGAUACUGGCAAGCUUGAGUCUCGUAGAGGGGGGUAGAAUUCCAGGUGUAGCGGUGAAAUGCGUAGAGAUCUGGAGGAAUACCGGUGGCGAAGGCGGCCCCCUGGACGAAGACUGACGCUCAGGUGCGAAAGCGUGGGGAGCAAACAGGAUUAGAUACCCUGGUAGUCCACGCCGUAAACGAUGUCGACUUGGAGGUUGUGCCCUUGAGGCGUGGCUUCCGGAGCUAACGCGUUAAGUCGACCGCCUGGGGAGUACGGCCGCAAGGUUAAAACUCAAAUGAAUUGACGGGGGCCCGCACAAGCGGUGGAGCAUGUGGUUUAAUUCGAUGCAACGCGAAGAACCUUACCUGGUCUUGACAUCCACAGAACCUUGUAGAGAUACGAGGGUGCCUUCGGGAACUGUGAGACAGGUGCUGCAUGGCUGUCGUCAGCUCGUGUUGUGAAAUGUUGGGUUAAGUCCCGCAACGAGCGCAACCCUUAUCCUUUGUUGCCAGCGGUCCGGCCGGGAACUCAAAGGAGACUGCCAGUGAUAAACUGGAGGAAGGUGGGGAUGACGUCAAGUCAUCAUGGCCCUUACGACCAGGGCUACACACGUGCUACAAUGGCGCAUACAAAGAGAAGCGACCUCGCGAGAGCAAGCGGACCUCAUAAAGUGCGUCGUAGUCCGGAUUGGAGUCUGCAACUCGACUCCAUGAAGUCGGAAUCGCUAGUAAUCGUGGAUCAGAAUGCCACGGUGAAUACGUUCCCGGGCCUUGUACACACCGCCCGUCACACCAUGGGAGUGGGUUGCAAAAGAAGUAGGUAGCUUAACCUUCGGGAGGGCGCUUACCACUUUGUGAUUCAUGACUGGGGUGAAGUCGUAACAAGGUAACCGUAGGGGAACCUGCGGUUGGAUCACCUCCUUACCUUAAAGAAGC
rnacentral:rRNA from 1 species